rnacentral:lncRNA from 1 species
AUUAAUAAUAAUUAAUUCAACUAAGAUGUUAUUGUCAAUAGUUGAGCUUAAUCGAUUCAAUCCUUUGAAUAAUGUUUACGAAUUGAAAGGACUUGAGCUUAAUCUGUUCAAAUCUAACUCUUUAAUAACAUCUUACGAUUUUUGAUUUGAUUCUUAUGUAUGCUAGGAAUUAAAUUUAUUAUUUUUUAUGAUAAAAUUGAAUUACCAAGAUAUUA